rnacentral:rRNA from 1 species
GGGUACCUGCGGAGGGAUCAUUACACAAAUAUGAAGGCGGGCUGGAACCUCUCGGGGUUACAGCCUUGCUGAAUUAUUCACCCUUGUCUUUUGCGUACUUCUUGUUUCCUUGGUGGGUUCGCCCACCACUAGGACAAACAUAAACCUUUUGUAAUUGCAAUCAGCGUCAGUAACAAAUUAAUAAUUACAACUUUCAACAACGGAUCUCUUGGUUCUGGCAUCGAUGAAGAACGCAGCGAAAUGCGAUAAGUAGUGUGAAUUGCAGAAUUCAGUGAAUCAUCGAAUCUUUGAACGCACAUUGCGCCCUUUGGUAUUCCAAAGGGCAUGCCUGUUCGAGCGUCAUUUGUACCCUCAAGCUUUGCUUGGUGUUGGGCGUCUUGUCUCUAGCUUUGCUGGAGACUCGCCUUAAAGUAAUUGGCAGCCGGCCUACUGGUUUCGGAGCGCAGCACAAGUCGCACUCUCUAUCAGCAAAGGUCUAGCAUCCACUAAGCCUUUUUUCAACUUUUGACCUCGAUCAGGUAGGAUCCAGGGUCCC